AUAAAAGCUGUAAUCAAGGACAUGAAUCCUUAACGAGAUCCGUUCAGAGAGAGAGGACAUCGGCUGAAAGCCUCUUCGGUUAUCCUAAGGAUUUACCACCUUGUAGCUGCGAUAUUGAAAUCGGGGAUUUCCUUGAGAGUAAACUUCGCCGGGUAUUCCCGUUACAGAAUGGAUUGAGGAUUCGCUUCUUGGCGAGUCGAAUGAGGGUGGAACCACGAGCGCACUCGUCCCUUUU
rnacentral:ncRNA from 1 species